rnacentral:pre_miRNA from 1 species
AGGGACGGGACGGGGCGCAGUGUUGUUCUAAGGCCGCCAAUAUUGCACUCGUCCCGGCCUCC